GCACUGCUGAGGAGUCCCAUAAUAGGACGAACCAGCCGUCCAGUGC
rnacentral:hammerhead_ribozyme from 1 species